GACAAAAUGAAUGUCGGAAACUUCAUAGUUCGGGGCUGCAUACUGCCGGCUCACGACGCUCGUCUAUGCUUCUACGUUGGAAACCAGAAGCUUGGACACUGGAGAUGUCAAGUUUAUCCUGGCAAGCUUGCACGACUGGAGCUUGUGAAUAG